rnacentral:tRNA from 1 species
AAAAUUUUAGUUUAAAUUAAAAUUUUUCAUUUACAUUGAAAAGAUUAAAAUUAGAUUUAAAAUUUUA